GAUGAUUGCUCACUUACAGCUACAGUUAUCCUAAAAUCAUCCUUUCCUGUGCCCUGGUGAUAUUGAAUUACCCUCUCUUCCAGAAAAAAAAUCUCAUUAUCAGCCACCUGUCAUGGAUGCUUUUCACUGCCACAAGUCCUUGCUUUAAACCUUCACUUUCACUAAGCUCAUUUUCACUCCUUUUCCUGGAAUUGCAAUGAUAAGAUAAAUGUUAUCCAUCCAUAAGUGGGUCUAAUAUCUAUUCUUUUUUGUACCUUGAAAACAGCAAAUGCUUUAUCUUUCUGCUCCCUGUUACAUCAUGGAUCACUGCAUCUCCAUGCCCAUCCCUGGUUAAUGCCAUUUCUUAACCAGGAGUGGUUGGUGCUUUGUUUCCUAUGACCAUCCCUCCACUACCUGGGUGACAAGGACCAUCAUCUGUUGCAGGCUUCUCCCUUCAGUGCUUUCUCUUUCCUACAUGCCCAUCUUCCCUUGUCCAUCAAGGCCCUGGUAGAGAAACCUUGAGUUCAUUGGAUCCAUUCCCCAAAUACCAGCUGGUUAUUCUGCAUCCAGUACCCAGUCACUAACCCUCUUUAAUCACUGCCCCAAAUGGGAUAUCGAGGUCCCACACCUGACUUAAUCUGAAGCAACCAGCAAGGACAGGUGGAGCUCUGGGUCUGUGAUGAUGGGAACCAUGGGAAAAUCUCAAGAUCAGAGGACCUGCUUCCAGGACUUGCCUGGUUGACUGAGCAGAGCUG